UACGAAGGGGGCUAGCGUUGCUCGGAAUCACUGGGCGUAAAGCGCACGUAGGCGGCUUCUUAAGUCAGGGGUGAAAUCCUGGAGCUCAACUCCAGAACUGCCUUUGAUACUGAGGGGCUUGAGUCCGGGAGAGGGAUGCAGAAUUCCAGGUGUAGCGGUGAAAUGCGUAGAUAUCUGGAGGAAUACCGGUGGCGAAGGCGGCAUCCUGGACCGGCAUUGACGCUGAGGAGCGAAAGCUAGGGGAGCAAACGGG
rnacentral:rRNA from 1 species